rnacentral:misc_RNA from 1 species
GAUGAAGAACGUAGCGAAAUGCGAUAAGUAAUGUGAAUUGCAGAAUUCAGUGAAUCAUCGAAUCUUUGAACGCACCUUGCACCCUUUGGCAUUCCGAAGGGUAUGCUCGUUUGAGUGUCAUUGUACUCUCACACUCCCACUCUUUUGGAUUGGGAGCGGUGGACUUGGGUGUUGCUGCUUCACUGUGGCUCGCCUCAAAUGGAGUAGUGCAACUCUCGGUUGGACAUAGUACGGCGUGAUAAGUGUCUUCGCCGGCGCCUCACUAGAGGGUGGCCGAUCGGGAGCUCUGUGCUUCAAACCGUCUUCGGACAAUCACUGACAACUUGACCUCAAAUCGAGUAGGACUACCCGCUGAACUUAAGCAUAUCAAUAAGCGGAGGA